rfam:Picea glauca, whole genome shotgun sequence.
UAUUAUGUACAUGCCUACAACAUAGCAAUGGAUUCCAUUAGAACUCCAUAGUUAAGCGUGCUCAAGCUAGAUUAGUACUAUGAUGAGUGACCGCCGAGGAAUUCCUAGUGUUUUACAUGC